rnacentral:rRNA from 1 species
ACGGGAGGCAGCAGUGGGGAAUAUUGGGCAAUGGGCGAAAGCCUGACCCAGCAACGCCGCGUGAGGGAAGAAGGUCUUCGGAUUGUAAACUUCUUUUAUGAGGGACGAAGGACGUGACGGCACCUCAUGAAUAAGCCACGGCUAACUACGUGCCAGCAGCCGCGGUAAUACGUAGGUGGCGAGCGUUAUCCGGAUUUACUGGGUGUAAAGGGCGCGUAGGCGGGGAUGCAAGUCAGAUGUGAAAUCUAUGGGCUUAACCCAUAAACUGCAUUUGAAACUGUAUUUCUUGAGUGCUGGAGAGGUAGAUGGAAUUCCUUGUGUAGCGGUGAAAUGCGUAGAUAUAAGGAAGAACACCAGUGGCGAAGGCGAUCUACUGGACAGUAACUGACACUGAGGCUCGAAAGCGUGGGGAUCAAACAGGAUUAGAUACCCUGGUA